ACUUUUUCCUAUAUAAACAUAAAUAUAUUGAAACAAUCAAUAGCAGUGAUACUGAUUUUUUUUCUUGCAGGUUUUUAUGAGUCUCUGGGAGUUUGAGAAGUCUAAGUCGUAUGGGAAAUUCAAAGGAGAUAAGUAUUAAUGUUCUGGAACUAAGUGACACAGUGCUGAGUAGUAAAAGCAUAAUGGUUUGCUCAUGCCAUUUCUACUGUUUCUGUUGACUCUGUCAGCCUUUGUGAAGCUGCACAAGUGGCUGUGAGGGUAUUGCCUCCAAUGUCACAGCUCCUUGGGCUUUUGUGCAGGAGGGGCAUCAUGGAGCACAGUGACCUGGCUGCUUGAGCUUUCAAAAUCAGUUGUUUUGUGAGGAGAUCACAAUGCCAUGACUCAGCUUCUGCAAUAGAUUAAGAAGUUAAUAGGGAAGCAAAUGUAUAAAAAAGACUAAGCUGCCCACUGGAGAUGCAGAUUUUGUUAUCUGUAUUUCCCCUAACAAAUUACUUAAUAUGCUAUCGCAGAGAUGCUUCAUUUUCACAGAAUCAUAGAAUCUUAUGGUUGGAAAAGGCUUUCCUCUCAGUGGCAUAAGUUUGUGGUGUAAAGCUGUGGGGAUCAUCUACAAAAAUGAAGCAAGUCAGUGAAUCUUCACAUAAUUUUCUCCCAGCAUCACUCAGGUCUGCACUCCCUGCAAAUGGGAAAAGAAUACUGGGUUUUUGAGCCCAUAUCCAGGCUGUUAAGUACAUAAAUUGCAUUCUAGUGCAGUGGUUUCUCUGGUCUUCCUUCUCAUGUCCAAAAUGUUUUAAUGGGAGAGAAGAUUUUGGCUCACAACAAAUACAUAUAAAAUGAAAUGCCAGCUCAGUCUUUUUGUCUUUUUUUUUUUUUCCUUUUCUUUUUUCUUUUAAUAAAUGAAAAGAAAACAAACUUGGGUUUUGUUCUACAAGCAUACCUCAAUUUUAGUUGGCCCUUAAAAUAUCUCAGGUCAGAGUUUCCAUAACCAAUGUUAAUAGGCAAGAUGGCAUUAUAAUCUUAGGGGAGGUGCUAUGGCAUAAUGGGAAAUAUUUUUUUACUGUGUGUAUAAAUGUCAACUUUAUUUUCUUACAGCCUGUUAAACCUGAAAAUGUUGCACAAAGCCUUCAAUAAAUACUCCAAAAUUA